rnacentral:rRNA from 1 species
AGCGAACGCUGGCGGCAGGCCUAACACAUGCAAGUCGAACGAACUCUUCGGAGUUAGUGGCGGACGGGUGAGUAACACGUGGGAACGUGCCUUUUGGUUCGGAAUAACUCAGGGAAACUUGUGCUAAUACCGAAUGUGCCCUUCGGGGGAAAGAUUUGGCGCCAUGGGAGCGGCCCGCGGCUGAUUCGCUAGUUGGUGAGGUAACGGCUCACCAAGGCGAUGAUCGGUAGCUGGUCUGAGAGGAUGACCGGCGACACUGGGACUGAGAUACGGCGCAGACUGCUAGGGGAGGAAGCAGGGGGGAGUAUUGCAAAAUGGGAGGAAGCCUGAUGCAGAAACGCCGCGUGCGGGAUGACGGACUUCGGGUUGUAAACAGCUUUCGCCUGUGACGAAGCGUGCGUGACGGUAAUGGGUAAAGAAGCACCGGCUAACUACGUG